AUUAGCUAUUGCACUCUAAACAAUCCUUUGCGGGAUUGCCUUCCUUGGUGUUGGUGUAUUCUUUGAAAGAAAGGAAAGAGAUUACAGAGUAACCAGUAGUUAGUCAUAGGCGCUGACUGGCUUAUCUACUUAAAGGUAACUUCUUCCUUUUUUGAUUCACUCUCGGAUCAGUAACAGUAAAAACUGUCUCAGAAAAAGCCGAUAUCAUUGGUUUUCCUUAAAGAAUAAACGAUAAAUUCAAAGGUGUUUCAAAACCACGUUUUUUUCGCUAGAUCAGGUGAUUUCACUCGUAAACCAAAAGAAAAGGAUCUAUAAGUCAG
rnacentral:lncRNA from 1 species